rnacentral:tRNA from 1 species
UAGCUCAGUCAGUAAAGAAUCUGCCUGCAGUGCAGGAGACCCAGGUUCAAUUCCUGG